rnacentral:lncRNA from 12 species
AUGAAUACAGUGCUGCAAAGCCUCAGAGGCAGCGGGCAACAGCCUUCGUCUAUCACCUGCUGCUUUCAGAUUCCUAGGGCUUCCAAUUCCAGCUCUGUGACUUACUACUUUAGUGGCCUCAGAAAUGUCCCUCUCUGGAUUUACUCCCUCUUCAGUGACGUGGAUGCCAUGACUUCUGCAUCUGCCUCCACAAUUGUCCACCCUCAGGCCAUCGUGGAGGCACAGACCCUCGGCCUUACUAGAAGAUUCUGGAGCUCUGAAGAUUCGAAUGGGCUCUGGUAAAAGCAGAGCUUGAAAUGCAGACAGGGAAGCUGAAUACUCUGUUUUCGUGAUAAUGGUAUAGUCUGGUUCUUCAAGGGCUCUGUCUCCUGCUUGCUGUUAUAAGCACUAGAAGCCACACCUAAAGCUGACUAUAUAAGAUUAUUAUUUAGAUAUACCAUACCUCUGUACACUAAAAAAUCUCCAUGGUGACAACUGCACUGUUUCUCUGGAGAAUUCUAACAUGACACAUUUCCACUUAUUUCCAUGUGGUGGGUCUUCUGUUUUCAUGCUCGUUAUUGUACAGUCCAGGCUUUCUGUUAGAUUUAAAGUUAUCACCUUUAUCAUAUAGUAAAGGCUUUCCUCUUUCAUCUCUAUUUGGGUCUAUGUCUGGAUUUUUUUAUUCUUUCUCAUUCCUUUCUUUGUGUACUCUUUUGAAAGAACCACAUUGUCAGGGCACCUGGGUGACUCAGUGGUUGAGCGUCUGCCUUCCACUCAGGUCGUGAUCCUGGGGUUCUGGGAUUGAGUCCCACAUUGGACUAACUGCAGGGAGUCUGCUUCUCCUUCUGCCUAUUUCUCUGCCUCUCUCUGUGUCUCUCAUGAAUAAAUAAAUGAAAUUUUUUUUAAAAAAAGAAAAA